rnacentral:rRNA from 1 species
GCAAGUCGAACGAAGUUCUUCGGAACUUAGUGGCGCACGGGUGAGUAAUGCAUGGGUAACAUGCCUUUUAGAGGGGAAUAACCAUUAAAAACGAUGGCUAAUACCACAUACGCAGUACUUGGUAAUGCAGGUACUGGAAAGGAGGGGAUCUUCGGACCUUCCGCUGAAAGAGUGGCCCAUGUCCCAUUAGCUUGUUGGUGAGGUAAGAGCUCACCAAGGCCGAGAUGGGUAGCUGGUCUGAGAGGACGAUC